AGUGAACGCUGGCGGUAGGCCUAACACAUGCAAGUCGAACGGCAGCACAGUAAGAGCUUGCUCUUACGGGUGGCGAGUGGCGGACGGGUGAGGAAUACAUCGGAAUCUACUUUUUCGUGGGGGAUAACGUAGGGAAACUUACGCUAAUACCGCAUACGACCUACGGGUGAAAGCAGGGGAUCUUCGGACCUUGCGCGAUUGAAUGAGCCGAUGUCGGAUUAGCUAGUUGGCGGGGUAAAGGCCCACCAAGGCGACGAUCCGAAGCUGGUCUGAGAGGAUGAUCGGCCACACUGGAACUGAGACACGGUCCAGACGCCUACGGGAGGCAGCAGUGGGGAAUAUUGGACAAUGGGCGCAAGCCUGAUCCAGCCAUACCGCGUGGGUGAAGAAGGCCUUCGGGUUGUAAAGCCCUUUUGUUGGGAAAGAAAAGCAGCAGGUUAAUACCCCGCUGUUCUGACGGUACCCAAAGAAUAAGCACCGGCUAACUUCGUG
rnacentral:rRNA from 1 species